rnacentral:rRNA from 1 species
GCGUCAGCACACCAGGACCAUGAGGGACAUAUGAAAAGGACUUUGAAAAGAGAAUUAAAUGAGUUUGUAUUUGCUAAACACAAAGUAAACAGACUUGAUUUCCUCAGUGAGAUUGUAGUGCUUGCUUGACAAUGGGUUUUGGCUGCAAGUGCAAUAAUUCUUGCUUUGUGUGCCAGUUUUUAUGUGGACAUUUGAUUACCUUUGCACAUGAAUGGUAAUUUUCCUGCGGGGUGUGGAUUGCAUAUGCAUGUAAUGAUUUGCAUGUUUGUUAAAUGUGUCUGGUGUAUUUGUUUGUGUCCUUGUCCUUGAGGUUGCUUUCUCCCUUGGGCUUACAUGCCCUGGCACACACAUUCUGGCAAAAUGCUUCUGCUUGACCCGUCUUGAAACACGGACCAAGAA